ensembl:lncRNA
GGGGGAUUAUCCUGAGCAGGUUCACGUUACUUUAUAAUACACUAUUCCUAAUUGAACAUUUUCAGGCAGCAGUGUUUACUGUUAAUCUGGAGCUGCUGAUCCAGUGAGACGGACCCGCUCUCCUCUCCUCUUUCCGCCUCCGCCUGGAAACGAGCUCAGAAAGAGGGGAGCUGCGGUCACUGCAGAGGCACCACCUGCCUUCAUGGCGACGCCUGGUUCCCAUCAGCACCGCUGUAAAGACGCCUGGACCUCUGGAUGACCUGUGUUCGGGUCAGCUGAGCUGGAGCAGCUGUGUGCAGACAGACUUUAAUAUGGAGCAUCUUCCUCUCCGAGCAGGUUAGUGGUUUAAAAAAGUCCAGGAAGAGACAAACAAACAAACAAACAAACAAACAAACACAUCGCGAACUAGUCGAAACAAAAGUGCGAGAACUGGAAAUGACCCUGGCGUCAUAAAACCGCCGAGCUGGAC